GGGGUUUUAGCUCAAUGGGUAGAGCAUAGGUUUUGCAAAUCUAAGGUUACAGGUUCAAGGCCAGUAAACUCCA
rnacentral:tRNA from 2 species